GGCCCAGAGAAUAAUAGCCAACACUUAACAUGACGCCCACGAUGUGCAGGCACUGUUCUAAGCAUUUUACAUAUGUAAACUGGUUAAUCCUCAUCACAACUCCAUGAGUUUCCUGGUUGAAGGAUUAAUUAUCUGCUACCUGAUCUAAAGUUGAUAAAUGAAAAACAUCAGUAUUAACACAUGACAUGGAAAAAACACCAGAGGAGAAAAAACCACCAAAGGAAGAAAAACAAAAACUGUGAACAGUGAUGUCUCACCGGGGGUGGGAGCACAGCAGCAGACAUUUGUCAAAACUCACCCAACUCUAUAAUUUAAAUGUGUACAUUUUAUGGUAUAUAAAUGAUUCCUCAAUAAAGUUGAUUAAUCCAAA
rnacentral:lncRNA from 10 species